rnacentral:rRNA from 1 species
UACGGGAGGCAGCAGGGGGAAGUAUUGCACAAUGGGCGCAAGCCUGAUGCAGCCAUGCCGCGUGUAUGAAGAAGGCCUUCGGGUUGUAAAGUACUUUCAGUCGUGAGGAAGGUGUUAAGGUUAAUAACCUUAGCAAUUGACGUUAGCGACAGAAGAAGCACCGGCUAACUCCGUGCCAGCAGCCGCGGUAAUACGGAGGGUGCGAGCGUUAAUCGGAAUUACUGGGCGUAAAGGGCACGCAGGCGGUUAAUUAAGUUGGAUGUGAAAUCCCCGGGCUUAACCUGGGAAUGGCAUUCAAGACUGGUUAGCUAGAGUCUUGUAGAGGGGGUAGAAUUCCAUGUGUAGCGGUGAAAUGCGUAGAGAUGUGGAGGAAUACCGGUGGCGAAGGCGGCCCCUGGACAAAGACUGACGCUCAUGUGCGAAAGCGUGGGGAGCAAAC